CCUACGGGAGGCAGCAGUGGGGGAUAUUGCACAAUGGGGGAAACCCUGAUGCAGCGACGCCGCGUGGGUGAAGAAGCGCCUCGGCGCGUAAAGCCCUGUCAGCAGGGAAGAAAAUGACGGUACCUGAAGAAGAAGCCCCGGCUAACUACGUGCCAGCAGCCGCGGUAAUACGUAGGGGGCAAGCGUUAGCCGGAUUUACUGGGUGUAAAGGGGGCGCAGACGGCGAUGCAAGCCAGGAGUGAAAGCCCGGGGCCCAACCCCGGGACUGCGCGUGGAACUGCGUGGCUAGAGUGCAGGAGGGGCAGGCGGAAUUCCUGGUGUAGCGGUGAAAUGCGUAGAUAUCAGGAGGAACACCGGUGGCGAAGGCGGCCUGCUGGACUGCAACUGACGUUGAGGCCCGAAAGCGUGGGGAGCAAACAGGAUUAGAUACCCGAGUAGUC
rnacentral:rRNA from 1 species